AUGGGCAUUCACGCGAAGUCCAAGUCCAACCGCGAGGUGGUGGAGUCCCUGUACGCCUCACUGGCCUGCGGCGACGCCGCAGCCGUGACGGUGUUGCUGGCGGCGGACCUAGACUGGUGGUUCCAUGGGCCACUCCGGUGCCAGCAUAUGCGACGCAUGCUAACCGGUGAGGCGGUGGGUGUCAUGGCGUUUCGGUUCGCGCCAACGCGGCUGGUAGAGGUUGGCUCCACCACAGAAGGCAACGAUGGGUGGGUGGUGGCGGAGGGUUGGGCCGGGGUUGGGGAGCGGGAUUACUGGGUGCACGCGUGGUGUCUCCGUGCAGGCGUCAUCACAAGUUUUCGUGAGUACUUCAACACUUCUGUCACCGUCAAGGAGCUGGGUCGGCCCGCCACAGAGGACGUGGUAUGGGCUGUGUGGGAAAGCCAAUCGCCCAAGCCCAAGGGCCACUCCAUGCCGGGCCUAGUGCUCGCGAUUUGA
rnacentral:rRNA from 1 species